rnacentral:tRNA from 1 species
CCUCUUCCUAGUCAGCUCCGUGUGAAGAACACAUUGAUUGCAAAUCCGAAGACGCAGAUAAUGACUCCUGCCGGGCUUUUCCCGCCUUACUGAGUUAAACGGCGGGAAAAGUAGAUGGAUAGCUC